UACGUAGGAGGCGAGCGUUGUCCGGAAUCACUGGGCGUAAAGCGCGUGUAGGCGGGAAGGCAAGUCUGCUGUGAAAGCGCCUGGCUUAACCGGGCGAGGUCGGCGGAAACUGCUUACCUGGAGGCCGGUAGAGGGGGGUGGAAUUCCCGGUGUAGUGGUGAAAUGCGUAGAGAUCGGGAGGAACACCUGUGGCGAAGGCGGCCCCCUGGGCCCGCGCCUGACGCUGAGACGCGAAGGCGUGGGGAGCGAACAGG
rnacentral:rRNA from 1 species